GGACUACAGGGGUUUCUAAUCCUGUUUGCUACCCACGCUCUCGCGCCUCAGUGUCAGUAUCAGUCCAGGUAGCCGCCUUCGCCACUGGUGUUCCUUCCGAUAUCUACGCAUUUCACCGCUACACCGGAAAUUCCACUACCCUCUACCGUACUCCAGUCAUGCAGUCUCAGAUGCAGUUCCUAGGUUAAGCCCAGGGAUUUCACAUCUCACUUACACAACCACCUACGCGCCCUUUACGCCCAGUAAUUCCGAUUAACGCUUGCACCCUCUGUAUUACCGCGGCUGCUGGCAC
rnacentral:rRNA from 1 species